AAAGGCCCGUCCAGUUUUCUCCGCUCGCUUGUAGUGUCAUGGCCCUCAAUCGGUCUGGUGCUAUGACGUAGAAGCGAGUGAAGAGAACGGUCGGAGCUCUU
rnacentral:pre_miRNA from 1 species